ensembl:lncRNA
UCCAGUCAUGUCCUCCACCAUCCUGCUGAUCGUCCUUCUGUCUGAAAUUGAUCUCCACCCAUGGGCAGAACAUUAAUGAUGACAGCACACAUUACAGGUCUGAUCUCAGAGCAGCUUCUCAGGGCAGCUGUUGGAGGAUCCGUCCUGAUCCCAUGUUCUCUUCCUGGUAAUCCACUGAGGUUUUACUGGCAGGAGGACCAGUCUCCUUACCUUUUGUGUCACUGGGACGGUGGGAAAACAUUGCCAGGAUGUGACAAAUACAAUGGCAGAUUCCAAGUCUUCACUUCUGAGUUUAGUUCUGGAAACAUUUCCAUCAGACUUGACAACAUUUCUCCUGAAGAUGAUAAGAAAACAUUCUUUGCCUACGUUAAAUUUGAUGAGCAGAUACAAUCUGAACGACGGUGUGAGUCCACGCUGCAGGUUUCAGCUCCCUACCAGGAUCUGGUCCUGACAGUUAACCACACAACCAACAGUGCAACCUGCUCAGCACGAGGAGGAUACCCUGCAGCUCAGGUAUCAUGGAAGGGUCUGAACAGAUCCAGUGAUGAACAAAUGGACCUGCAGGAUGCUGAGACGUUCCUGCAGCAGGCUCCAACAGAGAAAACCUUCUCCUUCACAAGCUCUGUCAACGUUACAGGGUUAAAGUCUGUAACCUGCAUCGUCUACAACCCUCACUCCAACAAGACCAUUAACAAAACUAUGGAGUUGGUGGAGAUCAACACUGCUGAUCCUCCUGGUGUGUGGAUCACAACGCCAACCUUCUCUACUCCUUCCCAGGAUGAAAACGGGAGGCAUCAUUUUCUAAUAAUUGCAGCUGUUGUCCUCUUCAUCAUCCUCAUCCUCAUCCUUGCUGGUUUCUGUCGGUGGUACAAAAGUCAAUGUCCAGUUCCAGGACCAGUUCUAGAACUGAACCCAGAACCAGACGUCCCUAAUCUCCAAGAUGCAGUUCAAGAAGAAGCUCCAGAUUUAAAUCCAGAUGCAGCUCGAGAACCAGUCGAUCCUAAUCCCCAAGACCCAGUUCAAGAAGAAGCUCCAGCUCCAGAUCAAGCUCCAGGUCCAGAUCAAGAUCAGGAUCCAGAUCAAGCUCCAGGUCCAGAUCAAGAUCAGGAUCCAGAUCAAGCUCCAGGUCCAGAUCAAGAUCAAGAUCAAGAUCAAGAUCAAGAUCAAGAUCCAGAUCAAGCUCCAGGUCCAGAUCAAGAUCAGGAUCCAGAUCAAGCUCCAGGUCCAGAUCAAGAUCAAGAUCAAGCUCCAGGUCCAGAUCAAGAUCAAGCUCAAGGUCCAGAUCAAGAUCAGGAUCCAGAUCAAGCUCCAGGUCCAGAUCAAGAUCAAGCUCCAGGUCCAGAUCAAGAUCAGGAUCCAGAUCAAGCUCCAGGUCCAGACCAAGAUCAGGAUCAGGAUCCAGAUCAAGCUCCAGGUCCAGAUCAAGAUCAGGAUCAGGAUCCAGAUCAAGCUCCAGCCAACCAACCACCAGCCGAACAUGAUCCCCAAGAUGGAGCUGAAGCUGAAGAUGCAGACGCAGCAGAACCUGCCCCAGACCCAGUUCAGGAGGAAGCAGCUGAUCCAUCUGAGGACACUGUUCUACUAUCUAAGGAUCGAGCUGUGUUUCACUGUCAGACAAAGACGAGUGAAGGUACUGCAGACUGCGACACCUGUGAGGACGCUGCUGCUUCACCAGAGAAAGAAAAACUGCUGGAAAAAGAAAAUGGAAAUGAAGACAGCGCCUCUGAUUGA